rnacentral:rRNA from 1 species
AGUUAAUUGUUAAUAAAUCUAUUAAUAUUUUUAUAUAGAAAUUUAUUUUUAACUAUAAUAAUUAUACCUUUUGUAUAAGUGUUUUACAAAAAAAAUUAAUAAUUUUUAUUUCUCGAUAUUAAUAGAUUAAAUAUUUUUUGUUUUACCGUUGUAUAGGUAAUUUUAUAAAAAAUUUUAGGAAUGAAAAAUUUUCAUUAUUAAUAAUAUCUAGAUUCUGUUAAAAAGUAUUUAGUACUUUAUUCAAUUAUAAGGUUUUUAGAUCUUAUAAUUUUUGAAUUUUUUUAAUUAAUUUUUUUUUAUUGAAAUAAUUUUCAUUAGAAAAAUUUUUUAUAUUAUUUAUAAAAAACUAUAUCUUUUUUAAAAAUGGAACUAUUUUUUAAUUAUAGAAGAUAUUUUUUAUGUAAAAAUUAGUAAUAUUAAAAAAUACUUUUUAGGAAUUCGGCAAAAAUUUUUCUCAACUGUUUAACAAAAACAUAGUUUAGUGAAUAAAUACUAAAUAAAUUCUGCCCAGUGUUUAAAAAUAAAUGGCCGCAGUACCCUGACUGUGCUAAGGUAGCAUAAUCAAUUGGCUUUUAAUUGAAGUCUGGAAUGAAAGAAAUAAUGGGAAAAAACUGUCUUAAAGGUAUUAAUUUUAAUUUAUUUAAAAGGUGAAAAUACCUUUUUUAAUAAAAAAGACGAGAAGACCCUAAGAAUUUUUAAUUAGUUUUAAAAACUAAUUUUUUGUUGGGGCGACAAAUUAGAAAAAAUAACCUAAUUUUUUAAAUAGGCGAAUUUUUUAAGUAGUAAAAAAUUACCUUAGGGAUAACAGCAUAAUUAUUAAAAUAGUUUGUGACCUCGAUGUUGGACUAGGAACUUUAUGGCUAGCAGUCAAAAAAGAUUUAUUCUGUUCGAAUAAUUUUAUCCUACAUGAUCUGAGUUCAGACCGGCGUGAGCCAGGUCAGUUUCUAUCUUUUUAUUUUUUAAUUACAGUACGAAAGGACCUAUUUAAGUUUUGG